rnacentral:pre_miRNA from 1 species
CUAGAACGCGGUUUUGCAUUUUUUUCUAACGAUCGACCGUUCAUUUUAUUUAAAUUUUUUUUAUGAUUGAUAUUUUUUAUUAUUAGAUAAUAAAACAUGAAUACUAUUUUAAACGUGACUAAUUUUUUACUAAUUUUUUUAUAAAUUUUUUAAAUAAGAUGGAUGAUCACACGUUGAACACGAUUAUACUAUACUUGGG